rnacentral:sRNA from 1 species
UGAUUCAUGCUGGAGAAGCAGGGCACAUGCUAGAUGGUUUCAGCUGGAUCAGCUGAGAAUGUAGCAUGUGCUCUUGCUCUCCUGCUUGAGUCC